GUUAUCCGGAAUCAUUGGGUUUAAAGGGUCCGUAGGCGGGCAAUUAAGUCAGAGGUGAAAGUUUGCGGCUCAACCGUAAAAUUGCCUUUGAAACUGGUUGUCUUGAAUUAUUAUGAAGUGGUUAGAAUAAGUAGUGUAGCGGUGAAAUGCAUAGAUAUCACAUAGAACACCGAUCGCGAAGGCAGGUGACCAACCAUGUACUGACGCUGAUGGACGAAAGCGUGGGUAGCGAACGGGAUUAGAUACCCUGGUAGUCCACGCCGUAAACGAUGGAUACUAGCUGUGGGGACUUCGGUCUCCGUGGCCAAGCGAAAGUGAUAAGUAUCCCACCUGGGGAGUACGUUCGCAAGAAUGAAACUCAAAGGAAUUGACGGGGGUCCGCACAAGCGGUGGAGCAUGUGG
rnacentral:rRNA from 1 species